AAGACCUUGCGCUGAUUGAGCGGCCGAUAUCAGAUUAGCUAGUUGGUGAGGUAAAGGCUCACCAAGGCGACGAUCUGUAGCGGGUCUGAGAGGAUGAUCCGCCACACUGGAACUGAGACACGGUCCAGACUCCUACGGGAGGCAGCAGUGGGGAAUUUUGGACAAUGGGCGCAAGCCUGAUCCAGCCAUGCCGCGUGAGUGAAGAAGGCCUUCGGGUUGUAAAGCUCUUUCGGCCGGGAAGAAAUCGCACAGGUUAAUACCCUGUGUGGAUGACGGUACCGGAAUAAGAAGCACCGGCUAACUACGUG
rnacentral:rRNA from 1 species